rnacentral:rRNA from 1 species
AAUAUUGGACAAUGGGGGCAACCCUGAUCCAGCCAUGCCGCGUGUGUGAAGAAGGUCUUCGGAUUGUAAAGCACUUUAAGUUGGGAGGAAGGGCUUUCGGUUAAUACCCUCAAGAUUUCACGUUACCAACAGAAUAAGUACCGGCUAACUCUCCGCCAGCAGCCGCGGUAAUACAGAGGGUGCAAGCGUUAAUCGGAAUUACUGGGUGUAAAGCGCGCGUAGGUGGUUCAGUAAGAUGGGUGUGAAAUCCCCGGGCUUAACCUGGGAACUGCUUUCAUAACUGCUGAGCUAGAGUACGGUAGAGGGUAGUGGAAUUUCCUGUGUAGCGGUGAAAUGCGCAGAUAUAGGAAGGAACACCAGUGGCGAAGGCGACUACCUGGACUGAUACUGACACUGAGGUGCGAAAGCGUGGGGAGCAAA